GAGAGGUCAUAUAUUCACAGCAUUGGAAACACUUUUGCAAUUUUUCUGCCCUUCCCAAGCCUGGCAGAAGUCUUAAAGUUUACUCUGUGGGGAGUUUGAAUCAGAGGACCCCUGGACUCUGGAUACAAGGCACAGUUGAGGGUAAAGGGACUGAGCUCAAAAGACAGGGAUUAUGUGAAAUUCUUGGAGUUAAUCACUGAACUCUCUUAAUAUGGCUGGCAUCAUUAUUAAGGCCACUCUCUCUCUACCCCAUAAAUUAGGAGACUGUGGUCUCCUUUCUGGGGAGACUUACCAGCCUAUAAGUCUGAAAUUGGUGUUCCUCCAAAAAAUAGCCCACAUGAACCAUGAUGAGUGACAUCCUUCAGUUUCCAUGCAUGACACAAGCCCACUGAGUGGCUAUCAACAUCUAUAGUCAUUUCCCAGAAGGAGAAAUUAGAGAAAACUAAUGAUAUUCUUAGUUUUGAGAAAACAUUUAGGGAUCAUGGAGCAUUUGAAGAAAGAUUACAAGAUGAAUAAAAGAAACUCGAGGCAGAGAAUGUUAUGUGCAUUUACUGUCUAUCUAAUGGCAUGAGAAUCUUGAGACUGCUGAUCUAAUGUGGCAGACCGGAACUUAUCUUGUCCUGACCAGUCUGAUCAUGUUUGUGGUCACUGGGAAGUUCCUACAUGGGAUGACCAUGAAGGUAGCCUGCCUGUUACUGAAGUUACUGGGAAAGAACUCCUGAUAGGAAGCUCUGGAACAAGAACACUCUUUUCCAUCAGCGCUCUGCAGGAAUGGAGAAUGAGAGCUGCAACACAACCAAUAAGGAAUUUUCUGGAGACCAUGCUUCACUUCUUUAGAAACUUUUGCAUCUGGCAGGCACUGUCUGCCACCUCCUGUGCCCAGGUUUUCUGGUGGGGCUCUGCUGAGCCAUGGAAAGAAUUGGAACAGCACUCUGCCAUCUGCCCCAGGCCAGCCGAAUGCACUGACUCUGGAUUCGGCUCUGGGAAUUCUUCUCCUUCCACAUAGCUACUGAACCAGACAGGCCAGCCGUGGGUGGCAUCAGCUAACCUGAAUUUUGGCAUCAGGUUCUUAUAGUUUUGAUGUUGAUAUCUACCCUGGGAUAGGUGACAUCUUUUAGAGGAUUUAUGGCCUGGAUUUUGAUCCUAGAUGCAGGCUGGGGGUGGUCUUGAAGGAAAGGAGAAGGAGCAGGAAGAAAGCCUUUGGGAUUGGUUUCCCAUUAUCAUUUCCCACAAGGAGAAAUUACAGGAGCUGAUGCAUUCCUCAUUUUGUGGUGAAAAAACAGGUGACAUGAGGUUGGGGCUCCCUCCAUGGAUAAUUCAGUAUGCAAAUCACAUCACAAGAAAAAAGAGGGCCAGGUCUCCCAGCUCGCUGUUGUUCCACAUUCUCUCUCUCUCUUUUUUAAGAGUUUGUUUUUUUUCAGAACAGUUUUAGGUCACAGCUAAAUUGAGAGGGAAGUGGAGAGAGUUCCCACAUACCCCCUACCCCCAACACAUGCACAGCCUCCCCCACUAUCAUCAUUCCCUAACAGAGUGGUAGGUACAUUUGUCACAAAAUUGAUGAAGCUGCACUGACACCACAUUAUCAUCCAGAAUCUGUAAUUUACAGCAGGGCUCACUGCCUGUAGUACAUUCUGUGGGUUUGGACAAACAUAUGAUGACAUGUAUCCACCAUUAUAGUAUCAUACAGAGUAGUUUCACUGCUCUAAGAAUCAUCUGUGCUGUGCCAUAUUCUCUGUAGUAAGAUUUUGUAGUGGAUGAACAAGUUGAGAGCUCCAAAUUAUACAUGUAAUAAUGGUUUGGAUGGGGUUUAUAAGGAGAUGGAAAGGAAACUAGAGAAGAAACAGAAAUAACAUUUAUUCAGCACAUAUUACGUGCCAGGCAGUGUUG
rnacentral:lncRNA from 10 species